UACGAAGGGUGCUAGCGUUGUUCGGAAUCACUGGGCGUAAAGCGCGCGUAGGCGGCUUAACAAGUCAGGGGUGAAAUGCCACAGCUCAACUGUGGAACUGCCUUUGAAACUGUUAAGCUAGAGUGCGGAAGGGGCAACUGGAAUUCUCGGUGUAGCGGUGAAAUGCGUAGAUAUCGAGAGGAACACCUGCGGCGAAGGCGGGUUGCUGGGCCGACACUGACGCUGAGGCGCGAAAGCUAGGGGAGCGAACGGG
rnacentral:rRNA from 1 species